rnacentral:rRNA from 1 species
AACGAACGCUGGCGGCAUGCCUAACACAUGCAAGUCGAACGAGACCUUCGGGUUUAGUGGCGCACGGGUGCGUAACGCGUGGGAAACUGCCCAUAGGUUCGGAAUAACUCCCCGGAAGGGGUGCUAAUACCGGAUAAUGUAUUCGAACCAAAGAUUUAUCGCCUUUGGAUGUGCCUGCGUGGGAUAGGCUAGCUGGUAGGGUAAAAGCCUACCAAGGCGACGUUCCAUAGCUGGUUAGAGAGGAAAGUCAGCCACACUGGUACUGAGACACGGUCCAGACUCUUACGGGAUGCAGCAGUGGGUAAUAUAGCAAAAUGGGCUAAAUCCAGAUCCAGUUAGGCCGCUUGAGUGAUGAAGGCCGGAGGGUUGUAAAGCUCUUUUAUCCGUGACUAUAAUGACAUUACCGGGAGAAUAAGCACCGGCUAACUCCGUG